CUGAAAAAGAUUAAGCUGCAGCGCUCAGUUGAGCGCUGUACAGCAAGUUAUGGCACAAGUGAGCAUUAUACAGAAAGUUAUGACACUUGUGGUGUCGUCAUCCCAAUUUUUUUCAUUUUAGUCCGUGCCUAACUUUUUUGCUACUAGAUUUGUCUCUUGGACCUGCGGUUUUGCUGCCUAAUUAGGCUCCAAAACAAAAGCAAGGGUUAAGUGCAGGGACGAAGUAGCAUAAACAGUCGAUGAGUGACUAAAAUGAAAAAACAAUAAAUAAUAGUACUACUCUUUUUUUUUCCUCCCCUUUCGUUAGAGUAGGGCAAGAACAGAAACUAGUUUCUGCCCUCGGGAAAACCAGAUGGGAAAAAAACAGGAAUUCUCCAUCUUGUUUUUCCUAUGCCAAAAGCUAGUUUUUCUUUUUGUCCUACUCCAUGCACGACACCUAAAUUGAUAGUCCUACCAGAAAGCUUGAAUGUCUUGCGUAAAUAUCACCGUUGUUUUCGCCACUAGAAGAUCGCUCUAUCCUGAAGGACCAGCCCACCUAUUUUUCUCCAAGUGCUCAGAAACCCGUUCAGAAGCCUCUUCUUUCAUUUGCAGCACGAUUUAGUUCGUCCCUUAGAGGAGAAGGUAGAUGAGAUGUCUGGAACUUCAAAAUUUUAUUGUUGAACAAGCAGAGAAAGGCUGGGAUAGCAUGGAUUGUGAUCACCUAGAACAACAACUUGGUUUUGCAGAGCAUCAGGUCUCGGGAAUUCAGAACCAAUUGAAUGAGCUAUUCAUGAAUGGGCAGUUUCUCUAGUACAGAAAUAUCAUCCAGAAGUUGCAUUACUGUUACCUCCGAAUGGAGUAGGAUGAAGCCCUGGAUGUCCCCUGGUGAUCAUGAUUCAUAUCCUAACGGCAAGCUUUUCGACGCAGAGUUCGAAGAAAAGGAAACUACCAUGAUUCGGCCAGAAAAUAAGAAAGACGAUGUGCAGAUUAAAUCAGGCAACUGUCCCUUGUGGAAACCUGGAACGAUUCGCUUUCAUUGACGAGAUCGACUGCAUCAGCCAGCUGUUGCCGCCAAAAUAAAUCCACCAUCGAUCCAAGUGUUCACCUCGACAUAUUAUUUGCACUUUGUUCUUCUGGCAUAUGUGAUUCUUGACGGAAUAUGUGAUAAGAGUCAACGAGA